AACGAACGCUGGCGGCAUGCCUAACACAUGCAAGUCGAACGAGACCUUCGGGUCUAGUGGCGCACGGGUGCGUAACGCGUGGGAACCUGCCCUUAGGUUCGGAAUAACUCCCCGAAAGGGGUGCUAAUUCCGGAUAAUGUCUUCGGCCCAAAGAUUUAUCGCCUUUGGAUGGGCCCGCGUUGGAUUAGCUAGUUGGUAGGGUAAAAGCCUACCAAGGCGACGAUCCAUAGCUGGUCUGAGAGGAUGAUCAGCCACACUGGGACUGAGACACGGCCCAGACUCCUACGGGAGGCAGCAGUGGGGAAUAUUGGACAAUGGGCGAAAGCCUGAUCCAGCAAUGCCGCGUGAGUGAUGAAGGCCUUAGGGUUGUAAAGCUCUUUUACCCGGGAUGAUAAUGACAGUACCGGGAGAAUAAGCUCCGGCUAACUCCGUG
rnacentral:rRNA from 1 species